rnacentral:rRNA from 1 species
UGGGUAACCUGCCUCAAAGAGGGGAAUAGCCUCCCGAAAGGGAGAUUAAUACCGCAUAAUAUGUUUUAGUCGCAUGACUUAAACAUCAAAGGAUUUUCUUUUAGAAAUUCCACUUUGAGAUGGACCCGCGGCGCAUUAGCUAGUUGGUGAGGUGACGGCUCACCAAGGCAACGAUGCGUAGCCGACCUGAGAGGGUGAUCGGCCACAUUGGAACUGAGACACGGUACCAAACUCCGUAGGACGG